UAAUAUUUGACAUAAUCAUAACUCAUAGACAUAAUCAUGAAGAGUAUUUUGCCAUUAAGGGGGAUAUUGAUGACUUUGUCUUCUUGUUAGUAUAUUGUUACAAGCAUGUAUUUUUCCCUUACCCAUGUGUUUGGUAGGCGGGAAAUAAUGGUUGUCUCUUUAUUUGUGUGUGUUUUUCUUACACACUUUAUUGGUUUUGGGCUUCUGCUUAUGUUGCAGAUUUAUGCCACGUUGUAUUGCCUGCUACGGCAGCAAGUCAAGCGGAGACCCCCAUCCGAGGUGUUUAAACUGUACUCGGCAGUGUUCCCUGACAUCCAAGUGUGCUCUUUGCCUCAGACUUUCUCCCACAGCUUUUAGUAAGUAUCUGCAGGUUUCUAGGAAACGACUCACCCAAUAGGCAUAUAGAUGUAGGAUGUCGGCUUCUCAGGACUCUGCUAUUUCCCCGGCUACUGUGGAAGUGCGGGGUUCUUCACAGGAGACGUCACCCCCACCGACUACGGCAAUGUCUGGUUUGUCUUCCUCUGCGUCUUUUAGGGGAUUGUCGACACCUUCCGCUGCGUCUGUGACUCCGUCUGCUACGGCAUCGACACUGGUUACUCUGACUCCGUCUACGCUCCCGGCGCCCUUGGUGAUGUCUGUGAUGUCAACUUCAGCGUCUGUGGCGCCUCCUACUUUACCUGUCGACCAGAGUUGGAUGCAGUCUUUUAUACAGUCGAUGUUUCAAAGAGGAUGGCGCCGUCGGGGAUCCCUCCAUUUACUCCACAGUUGGCGUUCUCCUCCCUCCUCAGACAUGCAGCAGUUGCAGCACCUCUGGCGACUGGGGCGCUUCUCCCUAUGGCCACCCCUCGCGCGCAUGCCGUACCUCUUGUACAAACUACACAGUCAGCACCGCUUGUACCUGCCGCGCCAUGGGUACUUCCGCCGCCUCCUUCAUCUGUGUCUCCUUCGACUCCACCGACGCGUGUGGCACCUUCAACAGUUAUGGGUAGCGCCUCUACUUCUAGGGCUACUUCUUAUCACGAUUCGGCUUCACCAGACACCAGUUCACGCCAUAGCAGGAAAUCCUCUUAACAGAAGCGCCAAUCAAGGAGUCGUUCUCCAGUCCGGAGAUCUUACAACCACCAUUCCGAUUCAUCGGAAGGUGGGUUCGUUCCAGACUAUGAGACUCAUCUCCGGAAUUAAAUACUCAUUUAGGACUUCGACAAGUUCCGGAUUGGAUGGCCGAUCGAUUGUCUGAGGUGGCUCCUUCACCAGGUCCGGGCAUUGACAAGAGGGACACUAUUUGGUCAGACCCAACUUCUACCCCUCCGGAUCCGCUGAUUAAGGAUUUGAUAACGGCACUGGACGAGGACUUUGCCAAGUUAUCUCUCACUCCAUCCAUUAAGGCAGCACAUUUUCGUAGAGGUUUUGCAAGACCAAACACCAGGAUCCUGUUACCGCUUCACCUCAAUUGUUGGCUGAAUUUCUUCUGUUUUUUGCGGAAUCAUAGACACCUUAAGGGCAGUAUUAUUACGACAUAUUUGGUGGCUUGGAACUCUGUAUUGGCGGUUCCUGGGGGACAGGAAGAUGACCAAGAUUCCAGAGUUGCAAGUUUUGUUGCGUUCGUUCCGUUUAGAGGACCAGAAGGCCAAGUUCAGUCCGCCUGCGUGGGACCUGAACGUGGUACUUCAGCUGUUACGGGAGGCGCCACUUGACCAACUUCAUGCCAUAUCUUUUUACAAUCUCACCAAGAAGACUGUUUUUCUGCUUGCGUUGGCCACGGCAGCUAGGGUGAGCGAGCUGCAUGCUCUUGAUGUCACUAGUGUUCAUUUUGAACGGACCCCACAUGGAGCGGUCCACCUGGGACUGUGCUGGGACUUCAUCGCAAAAAAUCAACUCCCUGGACAGCCCGACAGGUCUUUCACGAUUCCCCCUCUCUCCUCGAUUGUGGGAUCUGAGGAUGGCGCAGAACUUCAUUUAUGCCCGGUUCGUGCACUUCGGUGUUUUCUUCGCCGCUCUAAGGCUCAUUGUGGUGCGAGGAAACAGCUCUUUAUUCCUGUCUCCAAGACAUACAAGGCAGAAGUUAGUCAUAACACUUUGGUGUUAUGGUUGCGAGCCACCAUUUCUCCAGGUUUAUGAAGCCGCCAACUUGGACCCUCCUCGGGCUGACAACCCUCAUGGAAUCCGAGCAGUAGACUCCACGAUGGCCCUCCAUAGUAAUUGUUCCAUUAGAUCCAUCAUUGAAGGAUGCUUUUGGAAAUCCAAUACAGUUUUCGCCAGUCACUACUAGAGGGACGUGGCACUGGAAGAUGAAGAGGGCGUACACAGUUUUGGUUCCCUGGUGGUGGCACAGCAGGUUACCAAUCCCAAUCGCCAUUAACUCCACGGCAGUCCUGAGCGAGCCUUGUGACUCUCUUGGUGUAUGUCACCCUAGACGAGCAGGUUACAUGCUGUUUGUAUACUCUCGGUAGGUCAGUUUCAGAUUGUAGCGUUUGCUUGUCUUUUACUGCCUUCCUACCUGGACGCCUUCCAUUCCUCACACUCUCAUUUAUCUUGGCAGGUAUGGUCUUUGGGAUUCAUCUACCACCACGACUGCCGGAUUAUCUCCUGUGGUGUGAGAGGUUUCUUUUUAUCAUGAGUAUCCCAUCUGAAGGUUUGCUCACCUCCUUUCUGUCGGAUACAGAUGCAUUAAGGAGUAAUGCAGGAUAAGGUACAAAAUCUAGUAAAAUCUAGAUAUUUUUUUAUAUCUGUAUACUUAUCCUGCAUUACUCAGUCUCGUCGCCCGCCAUCGCCGCGGUACCUCCCCAUUGCUGCGGUACCUCCCCACGACGGUUUUCUUCAGAUGUUACGAUCCAGCAGUAAUGUGAAGAUACGUAAUGUCAACACUUUCCAGGUGCAGUGCGAUGGCAGUAUGGUGGCUCGCUUAGUUGGAACAACUUCUCUCACAGCUUCGUCUUGUCAAAGGAAAGCAGUAAAUGCAUUAAGGAGUAAUGCAGGAUAAGUAUACAAAUAUAAAAAAAUAUCUAGAUUUUACUAGUUUUCUCCACUACAUUUUAAGUGUGGGUGAAACUUCAGGAGUUUAUCAAAGGAAAUAAUUUUCAAAAUAUUUCAUUUUUAUGUGUUCAAAAUAGAACAGAGACGAGUAUUGAGAUUAGUGAAAUAUUUGUUUCGUGGUUUUAUGUUUGUGACCUUGCAAUUGCUAUCCCCUCUCAGUUUUCACAUUUUAUAUUGUUUUUCUUCUGAAUGAAGAUGGAAGUGAAUGCAACAUUAGUAUAUGUGUGUACAAUAAUACUUAAAACUGACUGUCCAUACCGAGGUAGAAUCAGGUACAACUCACAUGUCCCUGCCUUUAACUUCUGGAAUAUCUAUGAUGCCAUAUACUUUAACUUAUAACAACACAAAGGAUGUAUAAAAUGUAUACUACAUACAAUGUUAUGUUCUACUGUCCUGACAACAAAAUUAAAAACACCAGGAAAUGAUUCACAAUCCUAAGGCGUACAAUUUGGCUGUGUUAACAUGGUCAGUGAGAUAUUCCAGAGGCUCAGGGGGUUGAGAUUUGGGAGUAGACAUGCAACUGUAUGUACGGAGUUACAUGUUAUUUUAUUAUGACAGUUGCCAUUAUUCAUAUAUACUGUUCCUUAAAAUACAAUGCAAUAAACUUUUUAUAUGCAUGUA